GCUUACGGACAUAUCACGCUGAGAGCACCGGUUCUCGUCCGAUCACCGAAGUUAAGCAAUGUCGAGCCUAUUGAGUACUUAGAUGGGUGACCGCUUGGGAAACCUAGGUGCUGUAAGCA
rnacentral:rRNA from 1 species